rnacentral:lncRNA from 1 species
GCGUUGAAGAUGAAACUCUUGAUCGGUGAAGAACGAAAGCAUUAGUCACUCACUUAUUGGGCCGACUGAAAUAUAAACUGGGCUUAGCCCAAGUAUGAUAUUAUUGGCCUAUGUAUGUUGGUUAUACAGGCAUAAUUCAAUAAGCAUAUGUUGGUUAUACAGGCAUAAUUCAAUAAGCAUAUGUUUGUUGUAUAUAGUAUAAUGUUGUUUGUUACAUUUUUGCAGGUGAAUGAAUACAAGUAACCUGCUCUAAAGAGGAAUAUGAUGAUGUACAUAAAGAUUAAUCUACAAAGACUAUACUUCUUUAUCUUCUAGCUUGUGUUGGACAGCUUCCACAAGUUGGAGUAACAUUGCUCCAAUGAAGUACCAUGUAACUCCUGCUAACAAUAUCUGCUGCCAUGGACUGUUAACUAUAGCUAAAGCCAGCGAGCCGCCGAUAUGGUCGUUGAGCUCAGAGGCGGCUCUGUAACUUGCUUGGUACUGAACCAAGAAUACUGCUACUAUGGCUGUCCCAAUUGGGAAUUUCUUUAUCCUGAAAUGUCUUCUAUUGUCUCUUCUACUAGCAGGUUUCUCUUCUGAAGGAAAUGUCUUACGAGUCACUUGCGGAAUCGAGCUAGCUUUGGAACUGGUGUUGUUUCCAGACGAGGGAAGAGCUGUGUUUGAUGGAGUCCAAUAAUCUUCUCCAAGCAUGUAAGCUGAUCCUUUUUCUUUAGUUUUCCCCCCGCUCUGUUCUGCUUGUUUCAUUGCUGCCACAGCAUCUUGAAGCUUUCUGAUAUCUGGAUCAACUGUUUUUUUUCGUUUGGUGAAAGUUAGACUCAUGUUUGAAUCUGGACUCAACGGUUUCGUGUACGGUGAUGAUCUCCAGUAUAGCCAAUUGGAAAUGGACCUUAUUGCCUCUACUGCACUUAUUUGUACUUCUCUCUGCAAGUAUUAAUAUAACUACUUAUUAUCUGACAGGUAAGUUUAUAACUUGGCUUUUACUACUUCUUACUUCUUAGGAUAAUGGAUAACUCACCUGGGAAGUUUCUUUCGUGGUUCGGCUCAUGGCUUUGGCGUAUCUUUCUUGGAACUUCUUGACAUCAACAAAUACAUUGGAGACACGCUCGCCAACCGUGUUUCCAACCCCGAUUCUCACGUUGCCUCGUGGUUGCUUUGACAUAAGGAACUCUAAUGGAGCAAGGUCAGAUCUCUCCACCAUUCUGCACAUCUCAUAAAGAAUCAUACUUUAUGUAUUUCUCUAAAUGUCUCUCUUGACUUCACAUAUUGAGAGGGAAUUGAAACAAAACCAUUACUACAUGUCUACAUCUACUAGUUAUGUGCUUACGAAAUGCAGUCGACAAGGCAAGCUUCGAUGGCUUCUUUGAUUUUGGAUUCAGGAUCAGCCCAUUGAGCAACAACCCUCGCUCUCCCGUAAGCAGUUUCAAUAGCAAAUGUUUUCUCUGCACACAAAGCACACUUUAAGCAACCAACACACUUAACCUCGUCAACAAAUGCAGCUCGUUGCUCUGUUUCUGGUCCACACCAAACCGAAUAGAUCGGUUUCCCUGUGUAUCCUCUGAGUUCUUCCAGUUUUGCUUGCUCCUACAACAAGAAAGUUUCAUAUUUACUUGGUGUGCCCUUGACAGAGACUACAAGAAUCAAUAUAAGAGCUAACCUUGUCAUAAGCUUGACGCGUGAUCGGAUCAGAGAGAAGCUGGUAAGCCUCGUUAAGGAUGAUGGCCAUGUCGUGACC